rnacentral:rRNA from 1 species
UGCUAGCAGCCGCGGUAACACGGGGGGCGCAAGCGUUAUUCGGAAUUAUUGGGCGUAAAGGGCGCGCAGGCGGUCUUGUCCGUCAGGUGUGAAAGCUCGGGGCUCAGCCCCGGAAGUGCACUUGAAACAGCAAGACUUGAAUACGGUAGAGGAGAGAGGAAUUCCUGGUGUAGAGGUGAAAUUCGUAGAUAUCAGGAGGAACACCGAUGGCGAAGGCAUCUCUCUGGGCCGAUAUUGACGCUGAGAUACUAAGGCGUGGGUAGUGAACCGGAUUAGAUA